rnacentral:rRNA from 1 species
GACGAACGCUGGCGGCGUGCUUAAUACAUGCAAGUCAACUUGACUUUAGAUAGCAAUAUCGAAAAGUAGGGUGGCGCACGGGUGCGUAACGCGUAGGUAAUCUGCCCUGAGGUCUGACAUAACCCGUCGAAAGGCGGGCUAACAUCAGAUGAUAUAUAAUCACGACAUCGUGGAAAAUAUCAAAUCUUCGGAGCCUUGGGAUGAGCCUGCGUCUGAUUAGGUAGUUGGCGGAGUAAUAGCCCACCAAGCCUACGAUCAGUAGCUGGUCUGAGAGGAUGAUCAGCCACACUGGAACUGAGACACGGUCCAGACUCCUACGGGAGGCAGCAGUAAGGAAUAUUGCUCAAUGGGGGAAACCCUGAAGCAGCAACGCCGCGUGAAGGAUGAAAUACUUUUGUAUGUAAACUUCUGUAAGAUGGGAAAAAUAUUACUCCUCGGGAGAAAUUGAUUGUACCAUCAGAGUAAG